rnacentral:rRNA from 1 species
UACAGAGGUGGCAAGCGUUGUUCGGAAUUACUGGGCGUAAAGGGCGCGUAGGCGGUUCGAUAAGUCCUGUGUGAAAUCCCUCGGCUCAACUGAGGAACUGCACGGGAGACUGUCGGGCUUGAGUUCGGGAGAGGGAAGCGGAAUUCCGGGUGUAGCGGUGAAAUGCGUAGAUAUCCGGAGGAACACCGGUGGCGAAGGCGGCUUCCUGGACCGACAUUGACGCUGAGGAGCGAAAGCUAGGGGAGCAAACGGG